CCCUACGGGGCGCAGCAGGCGCGAAAACUUUACAAUGCGGGAAACCGCGAUAAGGGGACACUGAGUGCCAGCAUAUUAUGUUGGCUGUCCACAUGUAUAAAAACCAUGUGUUAGCAAGGGCCGGGCAAGACCGGUGCCAGCCGCCGCGGUAACACCGGCGGCCCGAGUGGUGAUCACUUUUAUUGGGUCUAAAGGGUCCGUAGCCGGUUUGAUCAGUCCUCUGGGAAAUCUGACAGCUCAACUGUUAGGCUUCCAGGGGAUACUGUCAGACUUGGGACCGGGAGAGGUAAGAGGUACUACAGGGGUAGGAGUGAAAUCUUGUAAUCCCUGUGGGACCACCAGUGGCGAAGGCGUCUUACCAGAACGGGUCCGACGGUGAGGGACGAAAGCUAGGGGCACGAACCGGAUUAGAUACCCGGGUAGUCCUAGCCGUAAACGAUGUUCGCUAGGUGUCAGGGACGGUGCGACCGUUUCUGGUGCCGCAGGGAAGCCGUGAAGCGAACCACCUGGGAAGUACGGUCGCAAGGCUGAAACUUAAAGGAAUUGGCGGGGGAGCAC
rnacentral:rRNA from 1 species